AAAUUGAAGAGUUUGAUCAUGGCUCAGAUUGAACGCUGGCGGCAGGCCUAACACAUGCAAGUCGAGCGGAAACGAGUUAUCUGAACCUUCGGGGAACGAUAACGGCGUCGAGCGGCGGACGGGUGAGUAAUGCCUAGGAAAUUGCCCUGAUGUGGGGGAUAACCAUUGGAAACGAUGGCUAAUACCGCAUGAUGCCUACGGGCCAAAGAGGGGGACCUUCGGGCCUCUCGCGUCAGGAUAUGCCUAGGUGGGAUUAGCUAGUUGGUGAGGUAAGGGCUCACCAAGGCGACGAUCCCUAGCUGGUCUGAGAGGAUGAUCAGCCACACUGGAACUGAGACACGGUCCAGACUCCUACGGGAGGCAGCAGUGGGGAAUAUUGCACAAUGGGCGCAAGCCUGAUGCAGCCAUGCCGCGUGUAUGAAGAAGGCCUUCGGGUUGUAAAGUACUUUCAGUCGUGAGGAAGGUGGUGUAGUUAAUAGCUGCAUUAUUUGACGUUAGCGACAGAAGAAGCACCGGCUAACUCCGUGCCAGCAGCCGCGGUAAUACGGAGGGUGCGAGCGUUAAUCGGAAUUACUGGGCGUAAAGCGCAUGCAGGUGGUUUGUUAAGUCAGAUGUGAAAGCCCGGGGCUCAACCUCGGAAUAGCAUUUGAAACUGGCAGACUAGAGUACUGUAGAGGGGGGUAGAAUUUCAGGUGUAGCGGUGAAAUGCGUAGAGAUCUGAAGGAAUACCGGUGGCGAAGGCGGCCCCCUGGACAGAUACUGACACUCAGAUGCGAAAGCGUGGGGAGCAAACAGGAUUAGAUACCCUGGUAGUCCACGCCGUAAACGAUGUCUACUUGGAGGUUGUGGCCUUGAGCCGUGGCUUUCGGAGCUAACGCGUUAAGUAGACCGCCUGGGGAGUACGGUCGCAAGAUUAAAACUCAAAUGAAUUGACGGGGGCCCGCACAAGCGGUGGAGCAUGUGGUUUAAUUCGAUGCAACGCGAAGAACCUUACCUACUCUUGACAUCCAGAGAACUUUCCAGAGAUGGAUUGGUGCCUUCGGGAACUCUGAGACAGGUGCUGCAUGGCUGUCGUCAGCUCGUGUUGUGAAAUGUUGGGUUAAGUCCCGCAACGAGCGCAACCCUUAUCCUUGUUUGCCAGCGAGUAAUGUCGGGAACUCCAGGGAGACUGCCGGUGAUAAACCGGAGGAAGGUGGGGACGACGUCAAGUCAUCAUGGCCCUUACGAGUAGGGCUACACACGUGCUACAAUGGCGCAUACAGAGGGCGGCCAACUUGCGAAAGUGAGCGAAUCCCAAAAAGUGCGUCGUAGUCCGGAUUGGAGUCUGCAACUCGACUCCAUGAAGUCGGAAUCGCUAGUAAUCGUGGAUCAGAAUGCCACGGUGAAUACGUUCCCGGGCCUUGUACACACCGCCCGUCACACCAUGGGAGUGGGCUGCAAAAGAAGUAGGUAGUUUAACCUUCGGGGGGACGCUUACCACUUUGUGGUUCAUGACUGGGGUGAAGUCGUAACAAGGUAGCGCUAGGGGAACCUGGCGCUGGAUCACCUCCUUAUACGAUGAU
rnacentral:rRNA from 1 species